rnacentral:lncRNA from 1 species
CGAAUGGUAGUCCUGUGUAGGCAGCCUCCAGAGCUGGAGCUAAGAGUGGAAUCUACAACCUUUGCCUCAGAGUAUUAUGAGUUUUCUGAAUUCAGGGAUAAAGAGACAGCCCUUGGAUUUACUCUCUUUUUGUUGCAUGUCACAAUUCCUGUCCACCAGUGGAGGCGCAAGGAGAAGGAAGGACCUGCCAGCAGUCCUGGGACGACCAAACCAGGAUUCUACUGAGUGCCACCU